AGUUUGACAACGCUUACCGUAGUGAUGGGACGAAAUGGGUCGAGGCUCCGAAGCUUGUGUCGAGUAAUGGGAGGGGCGUUUCCACGAAGCUUGUAUCGAGGCG